GACGUAGGGGGCGAGCGUUGUCCGGAUUCAUUGGGCGUAAAGCGCGCGUAGGCGGCCCGGUAAGUCGGAUGUGAAAUCUCACGGCUCAACCGUGGAACUGCAUUCGAUACUGUCGGGCUAGAGGCAGGUAGGGGAGAUCGGAAUUCCCGGUGUAGCGGUGAAAUGCGCAGAUAUCGGGAGGAACACCGGUGGCGAAGGCGGAUCUCUGGGCCUGUCCUGACGCUCAGGCGCGAAAGCUAGGGGAGCGAACAGG
rnacentral:rRNA from 1 species